UGGGGAAUUUUGCACAAUGGGGGAAACCCUGAUGCAGCGACGCCGCGUGAUUUAGAAGGCCUUCGGGUUGUAAAAAUCUUUUCUAUGGGAAGAAAAUGACAGUACCAUAGGAAUAAGGACCGGCUAAUUACGUGCCAGCAGCCGCGGUAAUACGUAAGGUCCGAGCGUUGUCCGGAAUCAUUGGGCGUAAAGGGUACGUAGGCGGGUAAGCAAGUUAGAAGUGAAAUCCUAUAGCUCAACUAUAGUAAUCUUUUAAAUCUGCUCCUCUUGAGGUAUGGUAGGGAAAGUAGAAUUCCUAGUGUAGCGGUGAGAUGAGCAGAUAUUAGGAGGAAUACCGGUGGCGAAGGCGACUUUCUGGCCAUAACCUGACGCUGAGGUACGAAAGCGUGGGUAGCAAACAGG
rnacentral:rRNA from 1 species